GGUCAGCGCAAACCCACACAGCUAGCUUGUUAUAGAGCAGAUGGACGUACCAUGAGCAUGGGUUCUCUGAAGAAAUCAUCAGAUUAAUUUCUUCAUAAUUUUUCGAGUUUUAUAUCAUCAAAAAUUAUCAAGUUUGAAAGCAGAAGAACCUGUCUGUGACAGAGUAUUUCAUUUAUUGUAGAAUAGCAUCUUCAGUAGUAAUUCAGCAAUACUGGAGUGUUUUAGAUGGCACACAGUUUAUGGCAGGAUGCACCCCAGCUCACCAUUCUCCUCAUUGUUGAAGCUUGUGGAAUGUUCAGCGAGGUCGACUACAGCGGGAGAUCGUCAACUCUUCGUUUUCAUCGAUGGAAAGACCGAAAAAAUGUAAAAUGGUGAUGUAUGGAAUUUGAGACAUUGAACAUGGUUUGAUCCAUUGAACAAUUGGAUGCUGACGAUUUUUGUCGAAUAUGGCAGAGAUGGUGCGUCAUUAAAUGAAGAGACGGUUCAUCACCGGUCUACAAUAGUGGGAUUGAAUAUUGAAUGCUAUUUUAUUCAUAUAAGUUUGUAAUUGGUUUGUAAUGUUUAGCACUGGCGCACAGAUGGUGGGGGUUUAAGGGCACUUGCCCCCCACCCCCA